rnacentral:tRNA from 1 species
GGUGUAAGGCGAACAUCGCUGCCCGGAAAGCAGAAGAUGCGGGUUCGAGUCCCGCCUGGCGCG